rnacentral:rRNA from 1 species
CUACGGGAGGCAGCAGUGGGGAAUUUUCCGCAAUGGGCGAAAGCCUGACGGAGCAAUACCGCGUGAGGGAAGACGGCCUAUGGGUUGUAAACCUCUUUUUUCAGGGAGGAAUUUUGACGUGUACCUGAAGAAUAAGCAUCGGCUAACUCCGUGCCAGCAGCCGCGGUAAGACGGAGGAUGCAAGUGUUAUCCGGAAUCACUGGGCGUAAAGCGUCUGUAGGUGGUUAAGCAAGUCAACUGUUAAAUCUUGAGGCUCAACUUCAAAAUCGCAGUCGAAACUGUUCGACUAGAGUAUAGUAGGGGUAAAGGGAAUUUCCAGUGGAGCGGUGAAAUGCGUAGAUAUUGGAAAGAACACCGAUGGCGAAGGCACUUUACUGGGCUAUUACUGACACUCAAAGACGAAAGCUAGGGUAGCAAAUGGGAUUAGAUACCCCAGUAGUCCUAGCCGUAAACAAUGGAUACUAGAUGUUGAACAGAUCGACCUGUGCAGUAUCAAAGCUAACGCGUUAAGUAUCCCGCCUGGGAAGUAUGCUCGCAAGAGUGAAACUCAAAG